rnacentral:rRNA from 1 species
GGCUUAUUGUUUAUAAUUUUAAGUUUUACCUGCCCUAUGAUAUUUUAUUAAAUGGCUGCAGUAUUUUGACUGUGCAAAGGUAGCAUAAUCAGUAGUUUUUUAAUUGAAAGCUAGAAUGAAAGGUUUGAUGAGAAAAUUUCUGUCUCUAAUAAAAUUUUUAAAAAUUUAUUUUUAAGUAAAAAAGCUUAAAUAUAAAUUGAAGACGAGAAGACCCUAUAGAGUUUUAUAAUUUUAUUUUAAAAAAUAUUUAGUAAUUAUAAAAUAAUAAAUUAAAAUUAUUUAGUUGGGGUGAUGGAAAAAUUAAAAAAACUUUUUUUAUAUAUAUACAUUUAUUUAUGAAUUUUUGAGCCUUUUUUAAAGAUUAAAAGAUGAAAUUACCUUAGGGAUAACAGCGUAAUUUUUUUUUAGAGAUCUUAUUAAAAAAAAAGAUUGCGACCUCGAUGUUGGAUUAAAAUUAAUUAUUGAUGUAGAUGUUAGUAUAUUAGGUCUGUUCGACCAUUGAAAUUUUACAUGAUCUGAGUUUAAACCGGUGUAAG